rnacentral:rRNA from 3 species
GGUGCUAACGUCCGUCGUGAAGAGGGAAACAACCCAGACCGCCAGCUAAGGUCCCAAAGUCAUGGUUAAGUGGGAAACGAUGUGGGAAGGCCCAGACAGCCAGGAUGUUGGCUUAGAAGCAGCCAUCAUUUAAAGAAAGCGUAAUAGCUCACUGGUCGAGUCGGCCUGCGCGGAAGAUGUAACGGGGCUAAACCAUGCACCGAAGCUGCGGCAGCGACACUGUGUGUUGUUGGGUAGGGGAGCGUUCUGUAAGCCUGUGAAGGUGUGUCGUGAGGCAUGCUGGAGGUAUCAGAAGUGCGAAUGCUGACAUAAGUAACGAUAAAGCGGGUGAAAAGCCCGCUCGCCGGAAGACCAAGGGUUCCUGUCCAACGUUAAUCGGGGCAGGGUGAGUCGACCCCUAAGGCGAGGCCGAAAGGCGUAGUCGAUGGGAAACGGGUUAAUAUUCCCGUACUUGGUGUUACUGCGAAGGGGGGACGGAGAAGGCUAUGUUGGCCGGGCGACGGUU